AGGUCUGCAACUCGACUCCAUGAAGCUGGAUUCGCUAGUAAUCGCGCAUCAGCCAUGGCGCGGUGAAUACGUUCCCGGGCCUUGUACACACCGCCCGUCAAGCCAUGGGAGUCGGGAGUGCCUGAAGUUCGUGACCGUCACAGGAGCGACCUAAGGCAAGACCGAUGACUGGGGCUAAGUCGUAACAAGGUACC
rnacentral:rRNA from 1 species